CUGAAGUUUCUGUUUCUACAAACAAUUAUUCGGCAUGUUUUGUUUCGAUUCUAGAUGAUCAUAUCAUAAUCCAACCUAGAUGUCCUUUUAUUGAUUCGCUAUAUGUAAACUGGGUAUUAUACAGGAGCAAUUUUGUUACUCAGAAUCACUCUGAAUAUUUUGAUCUGCUGGUAUUAUUAUAUAGGACCUGAUUGGGUAUUGCUCUGUGUAGGGAUGCAUCAUGAGAAGGUGGAGCUGGCGUCGUCGUAGGCAUAGUUGUACGCUGCCUCCCAGGUUGAGCAUGGCUGCUCACUGGCAACCAGGAUUCGACGGCGGUGAAGAUCUAGGAAUAAAGCACUCCCCUAGCUCUCGUCUGAUCCCUUUCACCAAUGUUUACUUUCAGUACCUUGGAAGAAUAAAGCACCAGGAUGUGCCCGCGUUGGCGGCAAAGAACAUGGAGGUUGUGGUCUGCGGUUGCAGUUCAGCCUGCUCAGCAAGGCAGCAAUGGAUCCUUCUUCGCCUAGAAAUGGCCAAUUCUGUCAAGACAUCAUUUCCAAAUACAGAGUAUUCUGUCCAUCCAAAUUGGUGCAUCUAGCCAAACAAUUCUUGAUGUUGCUUUGAGCUAGCUGCAUGGUUCAGAGAUGGUUCUUCAUUUCGGCUUCUCUUCAUUUGUGGCUUGUACUGGCUGCUUCUUUCAGAGCUUAUGUGUUCCCUCCUUUCUUACUCCUCGGUCCAUCGAGUAUUCAUAAGUCGUUGUUUGCAAGUUGCAGAUCAACCAGAAAGCCUUUGCGCAACCCAACGACGGCUAUAGUGCUGCUUUUCAUCUUGUACAUGAAGUUAGCAUGUUCUUCUGGAUGUUCCCGCACUAGCUUCUGGCCAUGCUACCUUAUAAUAUGCAAUUAGCAAUAUCCACCAAGUGAUUGAGGUGCCACAUGUUUGCUUUUGUAUGCGUCUUAGGUUAAUUAUUUUAUCUAAGAACUUCAAAUCGAAGACUCCAAGUAGCAUGUUUAUGUAGCACCCAGACAAUGCUUCUAUCUAACAACUUCGAAUCAAAAUAUCCAAAUUGUUUCUUC